rnacentral:rRNA from 1 species
CAGUAGCCGCGGGAAUACGGAGGGUGCAAGCGUUAUCCGGAUUUAUUGGGUUUAAAGGGUCCGUAGGCGGACUUAUAAGUCAGUGGUGAAAGCCUGUCGCUUAACGAUAGAACUGCCAUUGAUACUGUAAGUCUUGAGUAUAUUUGAGGUAGCUGGAAUAAGUAGUGUAGCGGUGAAAUGCAUAGAUAUUACUUAGAACACCAAUUGCGAAGGCAGGUUACCAAGAUAUAACUGACGCUGAGGGACGAAAGCGUGGGUAGCGAACAGGAUUAGAUACCCGCGUAGUCCCUGUCUCUUAUAA